UGGUGGAGUGAUUUGUCUGGUUAAUUCCGUUAACGAACGAGACCCCCGCCUGCUAAAUAGUCCGAGGUAUUGAUUUCAAUAGCUUAGGGCUUCUUAGAGGGACAUCGGCUCUACAAGGUCGAGGAAGAUGGGGGCGAAUAACA
rnacentral:rRNA from 1 species